AUGUUGUAUUGAGGGACAUGGUUUAGAGGAGCUAUUGGUAAUAGGUGAACGGUUGGACUGGAUGAUCUUUUAGGUCUUUUCCAACCUUGGUGAUUCUAAUCUAUGAGAAAUUAUACUAAUUUAACAGAAAAACAAUCACUGAAAAUCUGGAAUGUAUUUUAUUUUAUGUGUGCCAGGCCAUUACUUCCUUUUUUCCUUCACUGAGUAAGGCAAAUAGAAGUAAGGGAAAAGGGAAUCUAUAGUGUCCCCAUUCUGGCCAGCACCAGAUGCAAGUCCCGCCACCAGCAGGCAGGGAAUAGCACCUCAUCCACACGGAGACUCAUGGUAUUUGUAAAUACUUACUGACAGCUGAAGAUCUGAAGAACAGUGCUAAAAAUCUUCAUGUUGUUUUGUUCUUAACGUUGUUUUCUUUCCAUUUCCAGCAAUUUUUGUGUCAUUUGCCAAGUUAGAAGCAAAAAUGUUAUGUUUCCUUCCAGAUCACUGAUAAAGACAUUGAAUGGCAAUGUCUCCUUUGAAGCCGUUAAUAACCCAUUAGAAGAGAGCAGAAACAUGCUGAUAUAGCUGCUAAUUGGUUCUGAGGGCAUGUAAUGUGGAGGGCAAGUUGGAUAGAGAAUUCAGAACAACUCACUUGGGCCAAUUUUCACAGAUUCCAAUAUCUUCUCAUUAUAAAAGACUGAGGGAUGGUGGGCUUCUGGCCAUGACGUUGCAACUAACCAGACUUUGGAUCUGUCUCAGUCCAGACAAUAUAGACGGAUGCAUCCUUAAACCCAAGUAGAUGUAGUUCACUUGAUGGGAUGAUCACAACAACAUCUGACUACUUUCCUAGAAACUGGUGGAGCAGUAGAGUUUUCACAAGCUGAGCUUAAUCAGGACGUUGGCACAUGUUCAGUUUUACUGUCUGUUACCUUCACACAGCUUGGAGUAGCUAAUAACAUGCAAGACUUUCCAAGAUUUUAUCAUCUGCAGAUGACAGGUGAUAUCACGAAGAAAUUGAAUGUUUGCAUUUGCCUCACAGGAAAACAUAGAAAUGCACAAAAAUGCCCAUGAAGCUCUUCUAUGUGACAACACUGAGGCCAGCUCUGAAGGAAGUGAUGGGGUCACCAUGGAGGCCUGACAGUGUGCUAACUUAGCAUACACACUAACCUUAGUCCUCAGAGCCUCGGAGGGCUGUCUCGGAAUUGCUCCUACUCAGGGGAUUCAUAGAGGGAGGGCAGGAUAAGAAAGGACAGCUGCAUAAAUUGGAGGCAUUCACCUUGGUGGAAGAAAGGUAACAGUUUGUGCCGCAUCAUAAUCAGUCAGAAUCUCAUGCUUCACCAACCAGCGCUGAGUACAAUAGUAUAUAAAAUGACAAAGUAAUGGACAUCCUGUGACAUCAUAGCAACAAUUCUGUUUAAAAUUGCAGGUGUGGAUAAAAUCUGAGAGAAAAAUCCUGCAUUGCCUCAUCACACACUUUGUACGGCAUGGGUAUGUAUCACAUCAGAUAGGCUACUUCGCUUCAAACACAACUUGCUUACAUUUCUAGCAUGACCCAAAGAUAUCCGAAGGCAGUCACGCAUUCCCUAAUUCUAAUUACUUGCCUGUGGCUGGCUUAAAAUGUGCACCAUAAUUAUCUAACUUCCAGGAUAUAGUUGCUACGCCUUGGAGGCCCUGCUGAGAAGAAGGACAAUUUCCAGCGCUGGUUUAAAACAUCAGGGAGCACAAUGUCUUUCCUCAAACAUCUUGAAGAGUGAGAGUCUCUCGCAGGAAUUCUGGCACUGCUUCACUGAAAAAUCAGGCGUUCUUCAAAAGCAGACCUGUCAGAAGGCAGCCUGAAUAGCAUUGGGUGAGAUUUUCAUGCAUCUUUCACUGGGGUGUGAUUUGCAGCAAGGUGAGGUGCAGUGUGUGAAAGGCAUGCCCGCUGACAUGAAGAUAACUUGAUGACUCAAGUCUGGCGGAUCUUCGAAGACAUUAGUUCCCUCCUGGGAAAAGUAAAAUAAAAUAAUCUUCCAUUUUAUAUUCCAGUGAUGGAUGCUUUGUUAUUGUGUAGCCUUUAUACUCCCAGCAGCAAGUACUGAAGAACAUGAAGAACUGCUGUGGUUAAAUCACUCAAUGCAAAUCUACUUGGAUACACUUGCCCUUUCUUCUGCAUUCUUCUCUGGAAUGAUUUGCCCUUUUCCUACGAAAACAACCCAUCAUGCCAAGACAUCCUUUAGCUGAAAUGAAGCUUCCUGAAAGGCUAAACCAUGUAGGGAGAAUGGCUAUACAAGUGCACGGCAGUGUGUUCACCACAGUCAUUAGUCCAAGGCUCCUACUUGCUAACCUAUCACGAGCUACGUGAAUGGGCGUCAUCUUUUAUGCAAUGGGCUUUGCACUCUGUACAUUCAGGAAUACACAUAGAUAAAGUCUUAUUUUCCACAGGCGGAGUCUUUAGCCACCUGAGGCACUCUUCAUCUUGUGUUUGUUUACACUCAUUUGUGGGCCAGGGUUCCUUAGUAACGACGGUGUUAAUGAGGCUGUGCCAUGAAAUACGUGUAUAUGCACUUUGACCGUUUAUGAUGUGAUAACCCUUUUACAUCAAAUUUCCAUUUCAGAUAUCUCUUUUGUUCUCUGUCUGUCACCUCAGUGGGGUUGUUACCAACCUCCAGGAGUAUCUUCCAAGGUAGGAGGACAUCAUUAUGUUGUUUCCUCCUUCUUUCCUCUUCACUAUUUUAUUGCCAAUGUGACAUUCUGGCUUUGUUCUCAUUUCAAGAAAACUAAUUCCUCUUCAAAAAUUCUGUCUUCUGAAAAGGAAUAACCUCCAUUGGAAAUGUCAGCUGCUGAUAAGACUUCUGUCCCUCUGUUCUGUGACGGUGGGGUGGGGAACUGGUCAGGUGCCAACAGGCGGUUCAGGUUGCCACCUUGAAAGCAAAUUUUCCUUGAGAAUGGAGAACGAGUGUUGCAAAUCUCAGAAGGACAAAUGGUAUCUCUGAAGGGAGUGGCACUGGGAAAGCAUUCUGAUUUCCAUUCCUGAAUGUCUCAAAAAAUAGCACAGAAAACCUAUGCGUUCAUUUUGAAUAUCCCUUCCGGGGGCCCUUGGGAGAUUCCUACCACACACUUAAGCUUCUUUUGGUAAAGAUCUACAGUGCAAAAUUGUACCAUCAGAGAGUGAUGAACACAGAGCGUAACUUGGAUAGUUGGUAAUAAUUCUCUGUCUGCUGAUGAUUUGUUUUUUUGCAGAGCUGUUGUAUUGGAAAGGGAUUUUGAAAUGCAUGGUGUUACCCAGGCUGCAUCCAUUGCUCUUUCGUGCUAAACUGCUAUGAAACUUCCCAGCUUGUAUUUGUCAGCACAGCAGCCUGGUUCUUUGAAGACAACCAGAAGCAGGGAUUUCUUUUGUAAGGUGCUUAACCUACAUUUCAACCCUAUUAAAACAAGCAAAGAGAAACCAGUACCGUCCUCUUAUUCAUUUCGUACUUAUUUGCUAAGUGAGUAACAGCAGUGCUAUCUCUUGCCUACCAAAUCAUGCUGUACCGUCAGACAGGAGGAAACGGGACGUUCAUUUUCCUCAAGGGCAUCUCUUAGGCAUGUGAGCUGACUUCCUCAUUGAUUGCCACUUGUCAAUAUGUAAUCAGAAGCCGAGCGGUUGCCUCUUUCAUAGUCUGCCACAGAGCAUUCCCCUAGAGCUCUCUGCUUAUUAGAGGGGAAUAGGGAUCUGGUUGUUAGGUAUUUAUCCUCUUAUUUCAACACACAUUUUACCAUAGCAAAGGGAGCAGAAACGACAUUGACUAAAGUAAAAUAAAUUGGCAUUAAGAGGAUUUCAGUGGAUGUGUGGUUUUGUUUCCUAAAAUACCCAGAGUGUGGGAAUGAGAAAGGUUGAGGCUUUCGUCAUCAAUUUGGUGUGUCUUACAGAAAGGUUCAAAGGUGGUCAGAAAGAUCAGGCUUGGCUUCGCCAGGAGCUUUUGAGAAACAAGGUCAGCACCUUUUGCAGAAAGUCUAUUUGUUUGCAGUACUUCAGGGAGUCGCAGGGAUGAAAUGGUUUCUGAUCAGAGUAAUUUAACAGCCAAGAGAAGAAGAAAAAUAAACCUAAAUCCUUCCCAAGAUGAUAAAUUUUUAAUUCCAAACCAGAAGCCUCAAAAUUCUUUUCCACACCCCAGCGCUUGACUUCUGUGCACUGAAUAAUGACGUCUUAUUAAACACUUGUUAAUUGCUGUGACACUGAAGGCAAGUUAGUACAGGUCGAUUGCAUUUCCAGUUCUGCCAGCGUGUAGUCCCCAAGCUUUCACAACUACCGUGUUACAAAACAAUUCCAAUAAUGAUUCCACACCUUAUCUGUUGAAAACACACCAUUACGAAUCUUCAUAUAAUGAGCAUGCCCUCAUAUUUCUACAGAACACGUUGCCACGAUAAGUGGCCAUACAAACCAAUCUCUAUCAGGACACACUCGGCAGUAUCAGCAUGAUGCAAAUGCAGACAUUUUGCAGCAAGGAUUCUUCUUGUAGAGCUUAUUGCAGAGAUGAGAAAAUCACCUGAAAUUGAUUUUUCAGACAAGCCGUGUUAUGCUGCAUUAUGCUAUGACUUAUUACUUCUCAACCUGAUAAAUGCGGUCAACUAUUGAUUUUGCAGUCUUUACGGAAGGGUUUUACUUUGGGACAGUGAAAGAGCAACUAUGUUCAAUCAAACAAUGAAAUCGGCACUGGUACAGAUGCUAAAUAGAUUCUAAUCCAAAGCAGAUCUUAUUAAUGGUCAAGAACACCAUCACACAUGAAUGCAUCUCAUUGUGGAAGCCGAGUCCUCAGGGAGCAACCUACACCAAUUAGCAGAGGCCUUGGCACAAACACUUCCAGCCACUCCGUCCUCCCGUACACGUCUCAAUGCUUUUAAGAAAAUUACACUGUAGCCUCGUGUAUAACAGCAUCAAGGAGGGAAACAAAAAUCUUGCAUCUUUCUGUUUUCCUUUCAGAGAAAAAGAGAGGUUUCACAAUCUGAUAAUGCAGCCUAAACACUCUUACAGCUUAGUUGAGGGGGCGGAAGCAUGAAGGAGAUACGCAGACUGUUUCAUCAGAUUUUCUGUCCUCAUUUCAGAAGAGUGUUCAAGAGAUCACAGCAGGGCGUCCUAUGGUGCUCUGCAGAAAGACUGAAGCUGUAUUAGGGAAGUUUUUGAAGCCCGUAACAUCAAAUGAUUUUCCCUAUCUGCCCAGAGACACAAUCUUCAGUUUUCAAAAGGGAAGCAGAGGGGGUUUAUUUCCCAACCAAUUAUGCUGCUCCCCUCUUAAGGCAAAAUAAAGCUGCAAAUUAACACGAAGCACUACAAGAACACGCUUCCAGGCCACGUGAAACAUCCCACUGAUAACGCCAGGAUAUGGAUGUCAAAGGGCACAGCUCUUCACAAUGAAAGCAAAAACAGCACUCCUGACUCUACAACACCAAGAAUAGCUGCAAGAGGCUUCUUAGGCUUUCAUUGAAUUAUGUACAGAAUCCCGGCAUGGCUGAGGCAGGCAGGGCCCUCUGGGUCCCCCAGUCCCAGCAAUGCUGCAGCAGGGCCACCCAGAGCAGGGCGCCCAGGCGGCUUCUGGAGACCUCCAAGGAGGAAACCCCACAGCCUCUGGGCAGCCUCACAACAGAGGCGCUCCUUCAUCUCCAUGACCCUACACUGGUCUUUUUCUAGUAAGCCCACAGUUCUCUUGUAAUGGGUCACUCAAAACUGGAGCCAGCACUUCAGGUGCGGCCUCACCAGUGCUGUGUAGAGGAGGAUCAAUUCUGAGCUCCUGGCAGUGUUCCGAUGCAGCCAAGAAUACCGUCAUCCUUCUUAGCAGCAAGGGCAUGCUGCUGGCUCCGGUUCAACUUGGCAUCUGUGCCACCUUUUCCAUUUUACAUUUAUGAAUCUGACUUAAAUUUUUAUUUUUGAAUAGCUGGAAAUAAAUACAUAGUUCUUCAAUGUGAUAAUGAAUGCUUUUAAAGUGGGAAACAGAUCCUGCUGGGUAUCUUUAAGGAGGAAGUAAACUCACAGAGGCUCCUCUGAAAUUCUGGUUUCUCCUUAUAAAGGGUUGUUUGGGUUGCUUGGUAGUAUUUGGUCACCAUGUUCCCAACAGAUGUGUCAUUCACAGGCUUUCUAACAGCGCUUCUCAUGUGUUGGUGUGAGUUUAUCUCAGUCAUUGGAAAAGCUCUUCUCCAGAAUCCCAUUUUUCCUUAUAUAUAACAAAGUAAAAGAUAUAUUCACAGUCCUCAUUAUUAUGGUAAUAUCUGUGAAGCUACAAAUUGGAUCACACAAGAAAAUCACAGUGAAUGUACAAACCCCUUGAAACAACAUCACUGGGAAGCACUAUGUACUGCAUACUCUUGAAGGGAGUGUUAAAUCUUAACUCUUAAGGACAAACUCAAGAGUCAUAAAUCAGACAUGAAAUGCACUGUCGUAAAUAAAAAGGUACAAAAUAGAAAAUGCCACAAGAGCCACACGUGUUAUGUUUACAAUUAAAGUGCACGGUACCUCCAAGGUCACUUCUUCCCAACAACCACUGUUCCAAGUUUCCCCACUGGGACAAACCAGUCUUCUAAUGGGUUAAGUCGAACAAUUUCUAGCAAAGGGAUGCUCACACUUUCUGUCCACCUGCACUUUGGGAUCCUCCCGGAAUGCAUUCAGCUCUGCCGAGAGACCAGCUGUGCAUGUUUCAAGCAGCAUUCUUUUAAAUCCCAGUUAGGCAACACGCAGAUAGGAAACAGCCAUUUUUGGAGAGCAAAUAAUGAGAAAAAAGGGACCUGUUUUGUUCUGCUUUAUUGAAACCAGGCAUCCUCAAAUCAGAGGCAUUUAAGACGUUUAUUAGCGUUAAUCAUUGCAGGUUAAAUAAAACACAGAAGGUACAUCUCAGGGCAAAAAUAUAAUUAGGUAUGAUACAAUUAAUACGUAAAACUGAAUGUAAAGUAUGAACAGAUUGCAGCAUCCCAUACAUGCAGCAUGUGGGUCCAGCCCAAUCGAAGCUCUUACAUAAACAAAACAGAGGAAGAGUACUUGGAAAGUGAUUUUAAACGCACAAUUUACCACUGACUCUGGCUUAAAUAGUUAAGGGUAGGAUAGCAAACUACAUCAUCACUGUACUGAAAAGGUCUGUGUGUAGACUGAAUGCUCUUUUUACAACCUAAUAAUGUAUACCAUCAUGUGCCAUGAAGGAUUACUGAGCAGACAAGGGACAAUAGGUAACUUUCCCAGUUACUAACGUAUACACAUGGUAUGUUAUAGUACUUUAGAUAGACCUGCUAUACCAUGAAUAAAAAUAAUCUGAUUUUUUUUUUUUAAUGCAACUUCAACUCUUCCAAAUGCCAAACAUUGGACAAUAAUGACCUUUUCUAUAUUUCUCAGCUGCAAGACCAGCUUUUCCACAAUAUGCCAUUUUCAUGCAUAAGAACGGCAAGUCAACGAUUGUACCUAUGCGUAUCUCCAUCUUCUUGCUACCCUCAGCCUUAAGUUUUAACUUCAUAAAGGUGAAACGACCAUAAACAAAAAAUGUACUUACAGAAUACAAUGUUCAGUAUAUGAGACCCAGCCAUAGUGGAAAAAAUACACUACUUGUCAGCGUAACAAUAAAAAACUGCACUUAUAUACACACUCAUAUGCAGAGCUCACGAUAAGCCGGAAAAGCGAGUCACCUGCAGCUGGAGGGUCACAGCCAUGAAUCACGGUGCAAACAGACUCCACCUGGCACCACACAGUGCCCCAGUCCUGCUGCCAGCUCGCUUAAGACAAGCAGACUCCAACAGAGCCAGCACCAGCUGGUUGAUGAAGAACUGCACACUGUUCUUAUCACUGUCAGGAGAGCAGAACAACGACAGAGUUAAGUGCUCCUGUACGGUCAUGGAGCUUUCAACCGGCCAUUAGCCAGUAGGGAAUUAUGAUCACUGCUGAAAGCUUUGACUCAGAGAUUGUUUGCUUCUCUGUCGUUUUUCUGGCUGUUUAUGAAGGGUGGUGUUACUUACUUUGCAAACAACAAAGGCAACGAAAGAAAGCAAAAAUUCUACACGUGAAGAUCGCUAUUUCUUAAACCAACCAUUCCCCCACAGGAAGAGGCAGGCUAAAGCUGUACUUCAGCUUUGACAAACAGGAGAUAAACUGACAUCAUCACUGAAGGCUGGCCCUAUCUUAGAAGUAAACACAAGCUACUACACAGCAUUGUGCCAUGCUGUUUCUACACGAGGCUCCAGAGUUCUCUGCUGAAGCUCACCGUAACCCAAGAAGAGCUCAAGGCCAGGUUGGAUGGGCCCUGGCAAGCUGAGCUGGUGGCUGGCAGCCCUGCUCAUGGCAGGAGGUGGGCUGGAUGGGCUCUGAGGUCCCAAGCCACCCUGCGACUCCAAGAUUCUAUGAACUUAUUUGAGUGAGAAAAAGAAGAAAAAGGUAAUUGAGAUUUAGCCUACCUAACGCAAAAAUACCUUUGAGCCUACUUUGCUAGCAUUUGAAUUGUAAAAUCUGCCAGAAAUCCUUUGUAAUGAUUUCCAAUUUUACACUAUUUAAAGGCGUAACUCAAAAACCCAUUCUGAAUCACAAGCAGCUUGCUGGCAUCUGUGAGAACUGGUUGGUCAAGACAACAUCUGUCCCAUUCAGAUCCGCAUGAAUGGCCAGCUCUAGCAAAAACUCAGAGUACAAAGUACUCGAAGAACCGUAUUACAAAGCCUUCAGUCAUUUCAAGUCGGGCUUAAUGAGAUUUGAGACAUCACAUUAUGAAGACAGAUACCAUAGAGAUCUAUGAAAAGUUAAAAAUCAGUCACGCGUGACUACUAUACGUUCAGCUAAAUUUUGUGUUAAAACAUGUGGGCUCCACCUCACCUUGUUUAACAAGUGUAGCCUUUCACAGAUGGGCCACAGACCCCAUCAAUACCAUUAAUCUGUGUUGGUGAUCAGUUCCUAAUAGUUUAGGCCAUGGUAACCUCUCUCACCCUCCUCUAGUUGUCUGGGCUCCCCAAGCAGACUCACACCAGGGUGGGAUAUAAGAACUCUAUUUUUGCUUUAUUAAAACACAGCCUUUAAGCUCAAACCAUUUUUAAAUGCUGCUGUGGUUCUUCCAACAGCCCCAUGGAAAUGUCUUGGAUGGCCCCUAAAGGAGCCUUACCAACUAUCAACUGUGAUGACUACUGAAUUUUCAUGUGAACGAUGAUGGAUUACCAGUAGAACAGUUGCUGCAAUUAAGCAGCAGCAUGGAUAAGCACAGGCAACAAAACUGAAAGGUCAUCCUAACUCUCCUUUUGGUUGCAAGCUCUUAUGUCUGUGCUUACAAAUUUUCAGGUGUGAGUGCUUUCAAAAGAAUCCAAAACAUCAGAGAAGAUAUUAGGUGAAAAAACAGUGCAGUUUAGGUUCUUAGAUAAGGUGAGGUGGGGAACACCCAGCUGAUCUUAACUAUUUAAGCCCUCCAAAGAAAAGGAAAUAACCCCAUUCAGUAGACCCGUCUCUGUUUCAAGCACUAAUAACUGGUACCAUUUUAUCAAAGCAACCACACAACUAAGCAAGAAAGUCUGGGUUUAUGCACAAAUACUGAAGCCCAGCUCUCACCUGCCUGUUUAUGAUUUAUAACAAUAAGUUACUUUUCUCUUUUAUAAGGCCCCCAGAAAAGGUGUGGUGAGGCCAGUUUUCCCAGUAAGAGAACAAAGCAAUGUUGGACUAUGAGGUGAACUCACCCUAAUUUAGAUUUCCUGAACUGAUGAAAAAGCAAAAUCAGUCACAUGUAUUCAUAAGAGAUGGAAGCGAAGAACACAAUUUCACGUUAUUUCUAGUUCAUAGCCAUCCAUGGGAUUUAUUUUUCUACACUGUGCUGCAAAUAAGCUUCAAAGGCAUCAUGCAGUAGUCCCUCUGUAUUGCAUCCCACGUUGCUGAAGAAACUAUUCCGCAAAAGAAGAGAACGGCACUUGUAAGGAAACACUCUAUGUUGCUUUAUUAGAUUCCAGCCUUUAAGCCCAAACAGUUUUUGCACAGAACUGUCAUCCUUCCAACAGCCUUCUGGAGAUGUCUUGGAGCGAGUUAGGGAAGGGGUCCUCCUGACCCACUGGGGCAACGUGGCACUCUCUUCUAGAAAUAGAAGUGGGAUUGUUAAGCUGAGAGAUCUUUAGCCUGGGACACAGAUUUGGAGGAAACUUGAUAAUAGUAAUUAAGCUGAUAUUUGUGGUUUUUUUUUAAACAAUUUCAGCAAUUAAUGAAGCAUAUGCCAUGGAAAUCACUUCAAGCAAAAUGCAGCUGCUGCUACUUCAGUUCUUUCCAGAGCAAUGGGGACUGUGUGGGGUCCCAGCAGCCUCCUUCGCGACAAUUCCUUCCUUCACAUGGCACAGCUCCUCCCGGUGCAGAUGUUGACUUGCAGCCUGAACAAACCGCACUUGCUCAUCCUUUGGAUCCAUUUUUCUAGUUAGUAAAUUAAGUUCAAAUCUUGCUGGUAUUUACUGAAAGCACAAGAUGAAGCUACAUCUCCAGAAAAAUAUAGAAGCAGAGUCCAGCUAACAAGGCAGAGAAACUUUCCCAAAACUCAGGAGUUAUAGGUUUUUGCACUUUGUUAUUACACAGAAAACUCUAAAAACAUGCCAAGUCCACUUUGCAGUAUAAAAAGAGAUUUCUUAUGGUAUCAAAUCUAGAACUUUUAUAAAAAGGUUCUUUUUAUUAAAAAAAAAAAAAAAAAAAAAAA